CCGGACUGGUAAUCUGUCCGUUCGGGAAUUUGCCCGAACGGCCGCUCUAUCCUGUGAUGAAGUGGGCCGGGCGCUGCACUUAUCUGCUAUUAGAAGGAAAAUAUAUUUUACGAGCAAGGAGCGCACAGUUCACAUAGUUGAAGUGCGCACGCCGAAGCUAUUUCCAGAGGGAGGGGGAGAGAGAGCGAGUGAGCGUGGAGGAGGUAAUACUUUAUUUAGCUUUACUGAUAAGAGUGUUGCUACGGAACGCAUUUUAGGAUAUCAUGCGUUUGGAGCAUGCGUGACUACAAAGGCAAACAAUGCGCUAUGGAGAAGGCAUAGGACAACGCAUGCAGCAAAGGGGCACGUGUAUAACCUGAGCCUGAAGAGGAGAAGCAGCAGCUACAGGAGGAGCUGCAGCAGCAGGAGCCAGAGGAGGAGCUGCAGUUGGAGGAGCAGCAGUGGCUGGAGGCAGAGGAGGAGCUGCAGUCACUGGAGCAGUUAGAGGAGGUGGAGGAGCCAGAGGAGGAGCAGCAGUGGCUGGAGGCAGAGGAGGAGUUGCAGUCACUGGAGCCUAAGGAGGAGUUGCAGUUAGAGGAGGAGGAGCAGCCUGAAGGUCGCCAAGAAGUGGAAGAAGAACAUUGGGACCAUGCGCGCCUGGUCGCAGAAAUCAGGGACCUUGAAGAAAGGGUUCUGGUCCUUGAAAACCUUUUGCACCAAGCUUAAUUUUUUUUGGUGUUUUUUUUAUGAAUUGUAAAUAUGUUUAUGCUUAUAAUGUUUUAUACUGCUUACUGUAUAAAAAAAUGUAACUACUGCAAUAUCUGUCAUUUCUAUUAAAAAUUGUAGAAAGAA